rnacentral:lncRNA from 1 species
CCAGAUAGCAGGUUGUCAGUAAAUGUGUUUUUAAUAAGUGUUUUGUUUUAGAAAAAUUUUACAUUUGUAGAACAUUUACAAACACAGUACAAAGAGUUCCUGUCCACCCCUCACCUAGUUUGCCCUUUUGUGAUUUCAAACAGAUGGUAAAGUAAACUCAGAAUGAAAGAGCCCUCAUUGUAAUCAUUUUCUGAACAAAGACACCGCAUAUGAGCCUGUAACUGCAACCAUCUCCCUGUAGGUCAGCCGGCAACAUCCUGUCAGAUCAGCCCAGCUGGAAUGAACCCUGGGUGUCAAAGAAUGUUCUGGGAAUUUCCCGGAGCUUUGUGGAUUUCAGACCUGACACUUCACUGGCUCUUACAACAGAGGGGAAGUUUCCAUACAAUUCAGUGAUGAAUGAAUCUGAGAAACACGGAAAAAGGCCAAAAGCCUAUGAUCAUUGAGGGACCCAAGCUCUAUUCAAAAUAGAUCUCCAUCCUCCCAUGUAUCUUGGAGUCCUCUGCAUCCAGCUGGCAGGGAGUGGGAAGGAGAAAUGGUCCUGGAAGGC